rnacentral:piRNA from 2 species
UGCAAUCUUCUCUGCUUGUCUGCCUU